UACGGAGGGGGCGAACGUUAUUCGGAAUUAUUGGGCGUAAAGGGCGCGUAGGCGGCUAUCCAAGUCAAAGGUGAAAUCCCUCGGCUCAACUGAGGAACUGCCUUUGAAACUGGAUGGCUUGAGGCCGGGAGGGGGUAGCGGAAUUCCCAGUGUAGCGGUGAAAUGCGUAGAUAUUGGGAGGAACACCAGUGGCGAAGGCGGCUACCUGGACCGAUACUGACGCUGAUGCGAGAAAGCGUGGGUAGCAAACAGG
rnacentral:rRNA from 1 species